rnacentral:rRNA from 1 species
GAUGAACGCUGGCGGCGUGCCUAACACAUGCAAGUCGAGCGAACCCUUCGGGGUGAGCGGCGGACGGGUGAGUAACGCGUGGGUAACCUGCCCUGUACACACGGAUAACAUACCGAAAGGUAUGCUAAUACGAGAUAAUAUAUUUUAAUCGCAUGGUUAAGAUAUCAAAGCUACGGCGGUACAGGAUGGACCCGCGUCUGAUUAGCUAGUUGGUGAGGUAAUGGCCCACCAAGGCGACGAUCAGUAGCCGACCUGAGAGGGUGAUCGGCCACACUGGAACUGAGACACGGUCCAGACUCCUACGGGAGGCAGCAGUGGGGAAUAUUGCACAGUGGGCGAAAGCCUGAUGCAGCAACGCCGCGUGAGCGAUGAAGGCCUUCGGGUCGUAAAGCUCUGUCCUCAAGGAAGAUAAUGACGGUACUUGAGGAGGAAGCCCCGGCUAACUACGUGCCAGCCGCCGCCGUAA